rnacentral:rRNA from 1 species
GUGGGGAAUUGUUCGCAAUGGGCGAAAGCCUGACGACGCAACGCCGCGUGGAGGACGAAGAUUUUCGGAUCGUAAACUCCUUUCGAUCGGAAAGAACAGCUCAUAGGUUAAUAGCCUGAGAGUCUGACGGUACCGAGAGAAGAAGCCCCGGCUAACUCUGUGCCAGCAGCCGCGGUAAUACAGGGGGGGCAAGCGUUGUUCGGAAUUACUGGGCGUAAAGGGGUUGUAGGCGGCCAACUAAGUCCGACGUGAAAUCCCAAGGCUUAACCUUGGAACUGCGUCGGAUACUGGAUGGCUUGAAUUCGGGAGAGGGAUGCAGAAUUCCAGGUGUAGCGGUGAAAUGCGUAGAUAUCUGGAGGAAUACCGGUGGCGAAGGCGGCAUCCUGGACCGACAUUGACGCUGAAAACCGAAAGCUAGGGGAGCAAACGGGAUUAGAAACCCGAGUAGUCC